GACGACCGCUGGCGGCGUGCUUAACACAUGCAAGUCGAGCGGAGCGGCGAACGGGUGAGUAACGCGUGAGUAACUGCCCCCAUACCUGGGAUACCAGUUGGAAACGGCAGCUAAUACCGGAUAGUGGGGGAUGACUCUGGUCAUAUAAGCUUGUUGGUGGGGUAGUGGGCUACCAAGGGGACGACGGUUAGCCGGCCUGAGAGGGCGACCGGCAACAUGGGGCUGGGAUACUGCCCAACCUCCUACGGGACGCAGCAGUUGGGAAUAGUGCACAAUGGGGGAAACCCUGAUGCAGCAACGCGCGGGCGGGAUGCCGGCCUUCGGGUUGUAAACCGAUUUCAGCCAUUACGCGGUAGUCGCAGAAGAAGCACCGGCUAACUACGUGCCAGCAGCCGCGGUAAUAC
rnacentral:rRNA from 1 species